rnacentral:RNase_P_RNA from 1 species
GGGAAAGGCUGUCGCCGGUGAAGUUUACUUCACGGGAGGAAAGUCCGGACUCCACAUAGCGAUGUAGCGGGUAACGCCCGUCCACCGUGAGGUGAGGACAAGUGCAACAGAAAGGAUGUACAGGGGUUUGAGAAUGUAAGGGGUAGCUUUGGCCGACCUUGCUUCGAAUCAUUCAUUUGAUACCUGCUGUAGUGAAAACAGGUAAACUCUACGUGGUGCAAGUCUAAAUAGGUCUGUGUUAAGGGUAGCUAGCUCGUGCAGACGGGUAAGACGCUCGAGCCAUGGAGCAAUCCAUGGCCUAGACGAAUGACAGUUCUCGACAAGAUCCGGCUUAAUUCCCAUCUCG